CUCCUGGCCAUAGGAUGCAGACAGCGCUCUUCUGCUCCCUCCCUGCUUUCCCUCGGGCCCCAUAAGAGCACUGCAAACAGACACCAGGGGAGCAUUUGGACUCUUUUCUUUUAUUGAGAUUGGCUGCUCCUUAGAAGCUGCAGUGCAUUACACCGACACACCCACAAGCACGGGGCACUGCGUACCCCUCCCCACGCUCCUGUUCUUGUGACACAGUGGGAGGAAGAGCAUGGAGGGCUCCAUGAUGGUCACACAGGAACAAGGACAGCGGAUGGUCUGUGCGCAGACUUCUUUCCAGCAUGACUUGUUGCUGGAAUAAUAGGCACACGAGCUGUGGCACAGCCUCACUCCUACACGGAAGCAGUCAAUUUGGUGAUCCCGGCGGAGCAAGCCAGGCAUUGUGAGAGGUACUGCUGCUCUGCAUUUAAAAAGCAGCAGGAAGAUGCUUCCUGAUAACGGGGAUAAUGGAACGCUCUCUCCUCCUUGAGUGGCAAUGGCUGAAGAUGAACUUCUCCAACCCAAUGAGAGCCUCCAACGGGGACUUCUCCCAACAAUUAAUGCUGAGCGGCGUCGGGGCCGCGUCCCAGUCCAUCUGCAUUCCUGCACACCUCUGCUUCGCGCUGUCAGCUGCUCGUGGUCUCUCUGGUGGAUGGAUGUGAUUACAUUGCUGUAACUAAUUUGGCAGUAUGUGCUCAAAAUCUCAGCUGACGGAGCUCGUGGCCCCGCGGCCGCGUUGCAGCAGAUGGCACCGAUUCGCGGCCGCCGCGGUGACACGGGGACCCCUCUCUGCUCUCAGCCCUGGGCAGUUCCAGCAGUUUUCCUUCUGGAUGGCGGCACGGGGCCAGGCGUCAGAUGGACAGAAGGUGCGAGGUUCAGAUCCGCACUGCCAUCAGCCCUCGCCCCACUUCACACCGCUGCAGAUUCCCAUCAGCGGAUGCGGCAGGAGGAGGCGUUUGCUGGGAAACCCCCAUGGGACGUGUGGAGGGGUGGAGGAAUCCCUGUGACUCCAUCCAGGCUCUCUUCACUGGGUCUAUUCCCCAGUGAUGUGGCAGAGUUGGGCGCCCAUGGGUGCCCUUCGGUCCUUGAAUAUGGGAUAACCAACAGAGAAGUCCCUUUUGGAGUCACCAUUCCAACACCCCAAUUUGCUGUGGGUCUCAAAGCAGGAGUCACCUCGUGGGCACUGUGGGGUUGAAGUGUUGCCCAGUCCAGCAGGCACGAAGCAUUUUUAAUUGAAAAUGAGUUGUGAGGGACUCUGCAGGCUGCACCACGCAUGGUGCAGGCUGAACUGCGCCCUUGGAUGCUGCCCUAUUGCUUGGGGCAGCCUUUGUGGGCAGAAAGGCAGGGUAAAUCCUGCCCCAUGGGUGACACAAGGGUGAGCUGCAUGGGGGAGAUGGGGGCAGAGAGCCCAGCGCUUCCCUCCUGCAGCAGGUUUUCCUGCAUGAAUGUCCCUUAGCAACCGAAGUGGUUCCUGAAGUGUUCGUGUUCCUGGUUCUCCUCCACGAGAGGUUUAUUCUGAGGAGAGCAGCUCUCUGAGCUCGGUGAGCACAGUGGGAUCCGUUAUCCCCACUUGGGCAGCAUCUGCAUCAUGGUCAUGUGCUGCUGUGAGCUCUAUGAAAUGCCCUGGGGCAUGUAAGCAAGAUUCAUAGAACCAUGGAACAUCCCGAGUUGGAUGGAAUCAAGUCCAUCCCCUGUCCCCACCCAGCACCCAAAAUACAAACCCAAGGUCUUAGAGCGGUGUCCCGGCACUCCAGCAGCUCUGGGCUAUGCCUGCUGCCCUGGGGAGCCGUUCCGUGCCCACCAUCCUCUGUUGCAGAACCUUUUCUUAAUACCCACCUGACCCUCCCCUGACGCAUCUCUGUGCCAUGAGUUGGCUGUAGGCCAUGAGUUGGCCAUGGGGCCACCAUGAGUUGGCCAUAGACCGCCAUGGUGGAGCUGUAGGCCACCAUGAGCCUUUUUGCCUACACAGUGUGAACCCUUUGUGUUCCAGAUGAUCUUCGAACUCUCCCUUCCUGGGCACUUCAUUAAAUAAAAUCAAAAUUAAUUAAAAAAAAAAAAAAAAAGAGCCUGUUUAGCAAUUUGAGAUGAUUGAAACUCCGUGGUUGGAAAAAAAAAAGAGAAUACCCAAUUCCCCAGCCCCAAAAAAAAGUAGUUUAGACAAUAUAAAUGGGUUUAGACUUAUCAUCUCAACCUCUGAGGACAUGUUCAGCGCGGCGCAGAAAUGAACAAUCACCACAAUUCCUCACACAGAAAUCCCAGUGCUGCUGUCGCGUUGUCACCUCUGUGAUGCUGCACGACAUCGACAUCUCGCCGCGGUGCAACCGGUGCUGAUGAUGUGGAUUCUGCUGUAGCCAAAGGGAAAAUAUGUGCUGAAAUCUCCGGGGUUGGCUGCCGGCCCUUCGUGGCUUCAAAGCAGCGCUGAGGUCGGGAGGGGGGGGUGAAGAUCUCCAGAAUCCCAGGAGAGAUUUUCAGCUGCUUCAGGGAGGAAAAGGCUUUGGAUUAAGCUCAUCGGUGGGGAAACACAAUGCCUUCGGGCACCGCGUUGCUCAUUUGUUCCUUUGAGCCGUGCAUUUACCCACUGCUGUUUGGGUGAGUGUAGCUGUGCCCGAAGAAAGCUCUCUUUGGAAAGCCUUUGGAAAACAAAUCUGUCCUUUAUCAGUAGGCAUUCUUAGGCUGAUUCCAAAAUUAACCAAUUCGCCACCUGAUACCUGGCAUUUUGUUGGGCUUACGGCACGCAGCUGCUCAGAGAAAUCAAGAUUCUAUGACUCCAUGAAAUCCCUUUGGCCUCCUUUUUCACCAUUCCUUCUCAUGGGACUCUCCAGCCAACAGAACACACAAAGGUGCUUUGAUGUUUGGCUGGAGCCAUCCCAGAGCGCUCAGCUUCAGCCAUUUCCACCCAGGGGCUGCGUGAGAUGAAAUGUGUGCCUACAAACACUGAUCUUUUUCCUGCUUGUUUCAGUUUUAGGGGUUGAGGAAAUAAAGCAAAGCGCCCUCAGUCUCCUCACCAGGCUGAGAGGCUGUUUGUUUUAUAUACAGUGUUUUUUUCCCUGAAUCAAACUGUACACUCAUCAGAAAACGGACCUUGCUGUUUGAUGUAUGCUGGAAAGUGCCACGCGCGUUUAUUGUGCUGUAUAAAUAAAAUAUAAUAAUGCUGAGACUCAAGGACUCCCAUGGAGUCAUUCAGAAACGAGGCAGAGGGCCAGGGAAUGGAUUUGGACAAGAUUCAGGGGAGGGAAAGAUGGUUGGUUUUGUUUAUUUUAAGCAGGAAAAGAUGAGAAAGAGAGCGCUACCUGCCCCCAAAAACAGGUCCUGAGCUGCCAGUGCUCAGCACAACACCUUGAGGCUGAUGAAUGGGAAUUUCCAUCAGUCUUCAUUGAUCAUCUGGACAACGGGCAAAAAAAACAUAAUAUGGUGAGUUCAUUUAGACAUAAGAAUAGAAUAAUAACAUGUGGUUGAGUGAAUACAGUGAGGCUGUGGGGUCUGUGAUCUUUGUGACGUGCACAAAGCCUGACCCACAUGGUCCUGGGCUCCCUGCUUGGAGCAGAAUGGGUGACCUCCAGCCUCAGCCAUUCUGGGUUUCUGUGUUCCUGCAGGGAGCUGGAUAGGAAGAAAAAAAACAACACGACCAUAGGUCAGAGCUAUCAAGAGAGGGGAGGGAGAGAGUGAGCAGAUGGCAGCUUUGACCCAUAUAUAGGGAUUGAACGGGGACGGGAGGUGAGGAUUGGUGGGAGCUGUGGGUCAGUGGCACCACGGGUUUGGAGCACAGCUCCCUGUGACCCCACUGCAGAGGAGAGAACUGCCAGAGUCACACCAGUAUGAAGCAGGCCUUCAAUAGGACACAGUGGGUUUGGGGGUUCUGUGGGCAACACCAUUGCUCCAUGCUGGGUAUUUGCAUUUUCAGCACCAUGCUGCUUUUUUGUGGUUGGGUCCUCUUGCUUCUUAUGAGCCCCCUUCUCCUGCUCAGGCACAGCAGCAGUGAGAUCUAUGCUGAUGGGUCACGUUAAUGCGAAACUUCCCUGUUUGCACCUUUUCCUGGAGCAACUCCAAGGCUGAUGCAAACACAAAGGGAUUCAUCACUCUCCAGCUGUCUGCAGACAGCAAACCAAGAGCAAUGUUUGACAGUGAGGAAUAAUUACCUUGCCAGCUUUGCUUUAUCCACAUUUCAAAUCCAGAAGGGAGAUAAAGGCGCGGUACCCACAGCUCAGGAGGAGCACUGAGCACAGCUGGGAGCUUCUUAUCCCAGGAGAGAUACAGCACUGAAGUGCCACCUCGCCCACCAUGUCUUCUGCCUUCGGUCUUUCUUCUCCAAUCCAUCCCAUCAGUGGAGUCCUUUGACUACAAAUGACCCUAUAGAUGAUGCGUGGAUACCGAACCAAAGCCCGUCCUCAAGAACCCCAUCCAGCCUGAGCAACGGCAUCCUGGUGUGAAUCAGUGCCAAUAGAUUUUGCAUUUCCUUCCCAUCUCUUUAAUUCAAUUAGCUCGAAUAAGAAGGGCUGCUUGACCCUGAUAGGGUUAAAUGAGCCCGUCUCCAUGGCAACCAGCUUCCGAGGUGUGACAUCUCUCUGUGUUUCCUCCAAACCCUUCGAUAUUCCUCAGUUUGGUCCCUCUUUGCACAUAGCUUAAGGCACAACAUAGGGAUGUGACUGGGCUGUCCCACUGCUGUGGGGUGACUGCAGGCUCUGCUGCCAUUACGAUGUGUUUUCCAUUCAGAUCAUCUCUGGGUUGGCUCAGGACUUACAGAAAGCAUCACCUUUUGGUAAUCCUCGCAGAAAUAAACCCAAAUCUCACUUACAACACUGAGCAGAAAUAGUCCCCCUGUCUCCAGUCUGAUUUAUCUCUGGCUGCGCUCACCUUGGAGUGGAAAUCCGAAGCACUCACCCAGCCCAAACCAAGGGCAGAUGCCAUAAAAUGCACAAAUGGCACCAGAAUGACGGGCACACAAAGUGCCUGGAGAUGCUGACACAGGAUGGGACAGAAGGCCUUAGACUUAACUAGACCAUGGCUCUGCAAGGAGCCCCCUUAUGCCUCCUUUGCUUCAUAUCCAUCAGUAAAUUCUUGCAAAAACAAAGGGGUUGGGUUUUCUACCUCUACAGUGUAAGGUUUAGAGCAAAUUUUCCUUCUGGUGGCCAUUCAGUCCAAAUCCCAGUGGGUAAAAUUUCCAAGAGCUGAGAGCGGAGCUUCUUUCCCAUUUCCAUUUUGUCUCUUACAAAAUGAAAAAAAAAAAAAAAAAAAAAAAAGCUAAAAAACAUCAUAAUAGAAGAAGGGUUGCAGGCACCGCCUCCUCUGUAGGAUUCAGCAUAAAUAUGAAAGGAGGUAAUGAAAGGGAAAGGCUGGGAAGUUACUUGUCUGUGCACUCCAUUUAUGUACCUGGUGGAGAAUAUGAAUGGAGGAAUAUUUAAUACAACAGGCAGAGACGUACUGAGACUCAAGGAUGAGGGAUUUUAAGCCAUUUCAGGCUCAAAAUACGCUUCAAACAUUUAACGAGGAGGGGAAUCUAUCAGGAGAACACAUCCUAAAGGAAGCGAUAGGUUCUGCUAUCUUUUUACAUCUUCAAAUUGCAUUUGGGAACGGAGCUCGUUUAAGAUUCGUUGAAGCUAUUUUAGACGCGUGCUUUGGGAUGACGUGACCUGCACCCAUUGCUGCAGAGGAGCUGUGGGUGCCCGGGUGAAGCGCAGGUGGCUGUGUUUAAGCAUCUACAAACAGUGAAUGGAGUCCCUCCCUGGGGUCCCUCUCUAAAAUAGCUGCUUCAGAUGAGCUGUGAUAAACGCCUGAUUUAGGAGCGACUUGGGAAGCUCCUCUACAUCGGGAUUACGGAGGCGACCCCACAACGGGGUUGAAAAUUGUCUGGCUCUAAAGUGACAAAUUUAUGGGCAAAAUGAAGUGUGCACACCCAGCCUCAGCUCCAGCCUCGUCAGAUGCACAGACAUAAAUAUCAGGACGCUUUCUCCGGUUCGCACUCUGUUCCCCAGCUGAGCCUAUCUGUGAUGAAAUGUCUCAAUAGGCUUAAGCAGAUCUAUCUUGCCUUUCCUAUCACAGAGCAUGCCAGACAGCGCUGCUGAAAACCAGUGACAUGAGUGUUUGAUGAGCUCCGCUUUCACAGUAUAUUGGGAAGAAAUGGGUAACAAAGCUGAAAAAACGUUAACCUCGUGUAAAAGAGACGUGCAUGUUUGGUGUUACCCUACUUGGAGCAGUGAUUCGGUGCAAGCGACCUCUUUUCCACGAGCAACCCCAAACCAGGACCUAUUUCUGGGCACUGCAUCCCUGCUUGAGCAAUCCUGGCGGAGCACUGAUCCCCAGCUCAGCCUCAGCAAUGGUUUCUCCUAGCCAUGGAGCCACCACUACCAACUUGCCCGGCAUCCUUAGAACCAUCGAAUCAUAGAAUCAAUAAGGCUAGAAAAGACCACUAAGAACAUCAAGACCAACCAUCAGCCCAUUGCCACAAAGUCUUGAUGUUGGGUUGAUCCCUGCACAGGGGCAGGAAGGCUCCCCACUGAACCCAACCCCAUCUGAGCCACCACGGACAGCUCCACAGCGGUGCACCCCAAUGGCAGCGGCUGCCGUAGCGUUGCCUUCCUUUGACAUUUCCAUGCAUUCUCUUUUUCUUGUUGAAACUGCAGUCUUGCACACUGAAACCUUUGUAUGAUUUGAUGAAUUUCCAGAAGGCACUUACUUCCCUGGGCAUCACGUGACUGCAGAAGUGGGGCACCAGCAACGCUGCUGCGAGCCCAGUGAAUUGUCGGGUCUCAGUGUAAUUAUAAGUGAGGAAUUAUCGGGAGAUGAACGUGUUUCUACUGGUGCAUCUCAGGGAUAUCUCUGGUUCUGAGAUCUCACGCUCCAUCCCCCCCUCUCCCACACGUGGUUGCAGCCAAAAAAUAAGUAAAAUAAAAGCUUUGUGCCUUUCUUCUGUGUCCCAGAUUGUCCUUUUGCUCCAAAUUCCAGCCAUUGGGGGUCUCUGUGGUGGCCAUCUCCUAAAGCUGAAGGAGGAGAAGUGCUGUAGGAAGGGUAAGGGACCCCCUUUCCUCAGCUUUCCCUGAACAGGGAAAAGUUGGCACAUGCACACAGUGCUGGGAAUCUGGGGGAAGGUCUCAGAGGGAGGAGGAGCACUUUGAAGUCCAUCAGUUCUCAUCUUAUCCAUUUGGGAUUUGAUCCUCUGUAGAUGAGGAUCUCCUCUGUACUCUGGACAAAACAUCCACAGAUGCCCCUUUUCACUUGACUCACACUGGGAGAUUUCUGUUUGUUUUGUUUCAUUCUAUACCUCUUCCCUGUUCCUUUUCCAGGCAUGGAUCAGCUGGGGGAAGGCUUCCCCCCAUUGCCCACAGCCCAGGAAGAUGCCCCAGAAAAUCCUCCUCUUGGUUUUCAUAUUUCUUAUGCAUUCCCUCUAUUAUUUCAAUUAAUUAUUAUAAAAUAGGAUAAUGAGAAGCCCCUGGUCAUUGUCUCGGUAUAUUUUGCUGGUUUAUUGCAUCUGAGCUCUUCUUUGCAUCCCUGAGGGAGACCCCAUAUCUCUUCCUGUUGCCCUUAUGGAACAGCUGUGGUUUCUGUCGCCGCUCUGAACAGAAGAGCAGAGAUUAUGGCACUGUGCUUCCCCCAACAGCGUAACCUCAUUGCACGCAUCCAGGAGACCUCGUAACAAUGGUGUUGCCUUUGGCUGGGUCUUGCUCCUUUCGUUUGCUUAUGAGGACGUCAUGUGUGGCAGUGACAGAGACCUCACUGCAGCGGUGAUUUAUCACGACAGCCUCUCCCUCUCUAUCUAUUUCUUGUCAGGGGAGAAAUGAGACCGUGAGUUUUGGCCUUUGUGUCCAGAGGGCACUGGCUGCUUUCCGGGGGAGUUACGCACAAGUCAGGAGCUGCUCUAAAAGACAUUUCUCUCCAAGCACUGGGUUCUCUCUCAGGUGUUUUUUAUCGGUGUGCCUAUAGCCCAGAGCUGGCCACACAUUCAGCUUAGUCUCAUCCCAGUGCAUGAGGGCAUUUUCUGCUGUCCCGGAGGCAGCAAGACCCUCUCCUUGCCUUGGUGCUCCUCUUACAGAUGGCAUUCAGUGCACAAAUAGGAGAUGUGAUGCUCCUGGCAGAGGGUACCCACUCCCAUAGGUGCUCAGAGCCAAGAGGAGCUGUGGGUGGGUGCUCAAAACGAGGUCCUUUGAAUACGCAAAGUGCAACGCAUCAUUAAUCGUGUUCCUUCAUAUUGUUAUUAUCCCCAAAAGCUUCAACCUGAGGCUGUAACAGCUCCUAAUUACAUUGAAGCUCUGCCUGAUGAUUGAGCCCGGCUCAUCACUGCACAGACAACUUGCAGGUGCUGCACACACAGCUCAGGGCAAUGGAGCGUGCAGCAGGAGCGAGCUGCUCUGUCACAAUUGUCCAUGGAAGAGACAUCUCCAUCUGUGCAAGCACACCCUGUGGCAGCUGAGAGAAGUGGGGAACACUGAGCCCCACUAUCUGAAGUGCAGGAGGAGGGGCCCACUUGGACCAGAGGAGCACAUCUGCUCUGCUGAUGGCUGCUCACUAUGUGCCCUACCAGCUGGUUAGGAAUCAGUCAUAGAAUCACUGAGGUUGGAAGAGACCACUGAGACCAUCGAGUCCAACCACCAACCCCUCCCCACUGUGAAGAUGGUGAUGAUCUGGCAGCCUUUGGGCCCUGCACAGAGGGAAUGAUCCAGUGGUUCCAGGCGUUGGGUCUCAGCAGCAGACCCGUGAUCUUAUGGCAGAAGCACCCAGAAAUGCUUCUCAAACCUCUCCCAGGGGCUCUGGUCUCUGUGUCUUGUGUGUGGCCAUCAGUGCCUGGUGCAGCCCAGGACGUGCCAGGGGCACCACGGUUGGACUGCCAUUGAGCAGAGAACUGGAGGAGACAUUGGAAGUGCACCAUUCCCUUGGCUGUAGGGAUGGAUCCACUUUGGUGACCAGCUGUAACUCCUCAUAUAGAGUCAGAGGAGAGGUGAGUGGCGCCGGGUGCAAUGCUGUUAAGAAAUGCCUUCACAAUGCCUCCCCAUUUCCAGAGCCUGAGCUGCUUCCCUGCAAUCUGCCGCGUCUGGGAGCGCCUGGGGAGAGGCAGAUGUUCUGUCAGUUGAUGAAACAAUUCCAGGUCAAAGUCACAAGGACUUCCCACCCCCUUGGAGAGCCAGAAAGCUGAAAGAGCUCACAUUGUGCUCUACCUCCAUGUAAUGACAGCUGAGGAGCAGGCGGGACGCUCCCACCUCGGCCACAUCAGAUCUGCACUGCAGUGAUGGGGUGACCUUCCAGCACCUCCACAUGCUGAGAAUGCCCAGCCUGGGUCAGGAAAUGCUCCCAGCAGAACAGGCUGAGGUCCCCUUCUAUGAGAAGGUGUGGGAUCCCAUAGUGACAUGGUGCAGGAUCCCAUGGUGACGUGGCGUGGGACCCCAUGGUGAACUGGUUUGGGACCCCAUGGUGACAUACUGUGGGACCAUAUGGAGAAAUGGUGUGGGAUCUAUGGAGACAUACUUUGGGACCACAUGGAUACAUGGUGUGAGAUCCAUGUUGACAUGGUGUGGGAUCCAUAUUGACACGGUGUGGGUCCCCAUGGAGACACACUGUAGGAUCCCAUGGAGACACGCUAUGGAACCACUUCAUUUCGACACAGCUUUGACACAACUUCUCACCACAGUUUCCAAGAGCAACUGCAGCUAUGCCCCCCUGCACCCUUUUCUUUCAGGUUUGGGGUGUUUUUUUUUCAGCUUGAGCUCAUUCUUCCACUGGGUGCUCCUGGAGAGAGCUGUUUGAUUAGUGCAGCUGCCCGAGGGCUGCAGGCUUUGCUGUUUCCCCACCGUCGCCGUGGGAGCAGCCGUUGUUUUCUUUUCUCUUUUCCCCCAUCAGCUGCAUUCCACCAAAACCAGAGGGCAGAGGCAUCCAGGAGGCAGAGCUGCUCCUGGCAGGGAAGGCGGAUAUGCAGCAGUUCUAUUUGCUUCCACAAAUAAUUUUGCUAAUAUAUCAGAGUUUUGCUUUUUCCCUUUCCACCUUUCUCUUCCUUUCUUCUGUUCUUUUCCCCUCUUGGUGCCGAGUACAAUUAAUAGGGUGAUGUCUGAAGUUGCUUAUUCCGGAAUAUUUUUCUAUUUCUUUUUCCUCUCCUUAUAUCCUUCUCCAUUUCAGAGGAGCUCCAGUUGUUCCAAAAUCACUGAGAUCACAAUUCAGAGCUCACGGAGUUUGAAAAGCAAAUUUUUCACUUCGUUUGCUCUUUUCCUUCCCCAAAUGACUUCCCAUGAAUUUGCCAUUGCAUUAGAAGGACUUCUGCAUCUCUCUGUAAGCAGACAUCCACACUGCCCACAUUUGAAUUUGAAUUCAUUCUCAGACUCCAUAUGCCCGGGGGGUGAUGGGUGGUCGUCUGAUGGGUGAUUCUGUGCCAUCCCACCAGGUGGUUUUCCAUCCACUGAUCUGAAUCCGACCCACAUAUAUGGAAUAUGCGCACGCUAGAAGGGUGCCAAGUCUCCAGGCUUGACCUCAUGGGGAUAUAGAGCAUCUGCUCCCACUGAAGGGUGUGCAGGUGGUGAGAGCAGAGCAUAAGGACAAAGACGGAGCUCUUACCAUUCACAAAACUCCCUGACCUACAGCAGCCAAAUCCUCCUGCCCUGUCCCCAUCCACCCUACCAUGGGCAGCACGUCCUGGGCAGAUGGAAUCACGGAAUCAUGGAAUCAAGGAAGGGUUGGGUUGGAAGGAACCUUAAACAUCAUAGAAUCACGAAGUCACAGCAAGGUUGGGUCAAAAUGGACCCCCAUUACCCCCCUGCCAUGGGCUGGCUGCCCCACACCAGCUCAGGCUGCCCAAGGCCCCAUCCAGUGGCCUUGGGCACCCCCAGGGAUGGAGCACCCACACUUCUCAGGGCAGCAGUGCCGGGGAUUCAGUGCUUCUGGGGCAGGAAUUCCUCACAUGUGACCCAAAUCUCCCCUCUUUUAGUUAUCACCAUCCUCCCCCAUCCCACAGCUAUCUGCCUGUGUCCAAAGCUGCUCUCUGCUCGUUGGAUGGACAUCUCUUCUAUGCAGCCAGGGCAAUUAAAACCCCCACACCCAGAGUGCCAGAGCCACCCACGGAGCAGCAGCUGAGAGGCACAAGUGAGACCGCAGGACCUGGUGAGGACCCAAGAAAGGCAGAAAGAUGAAGAAUUUGGACCCGUCCGCUCACAUGAAGUCAUCUUAUCGCCUGAUUGCGAAACCAGAGAGCCGGGAGAGCAUCUGAAUGGCUGCUGCCUCUGCCGCAGUGAUAAAUUAGAUCACUUUGAGAGCACUUUAGAGCUGGACGGAAAAUUCAGUGGCUCUCCUGCCAAUUUCAUCCUGUAAGUGGAAUUAACGCUUGCUUUCGCUGCACUCUCCAGCCACAAGCAAGUGCCCCUGUGCACCACCCCGAGGGACUUUGCUCCCAGGAGUUUCAUCCAUCUGAACCAGCAGAAAAUGGGGAGAAGGAGAGACCUCGCUGUGCUCGCGGCCCCAAAGGAGUUGGAGCUCCUCCUGUUGGGUCUUCAUGUCUCAGAUCCUACAGAGAUGGGUCUGCAGAGCAAGGCUUGAGCCAACAGUGAGGAAUUGCCCUGAAUGUGGUGUUUUCCUCUUGGGUGAAGAGCAUCUGCCUGGGGAGCAGAAAGCUGAGGGGGAGAUUCAGCACUGGGAGCAGUGGAAGAGAGAGAAGGGAGCGCUGCCCACCAUGGCAGGAUCUCCAUCCACAGAUGUGCCAGAUGCAGGAGGAGAAGCCCCCAAAUGAACUAGAAAACACAAGGGAAAUCAGUUUAGGAAGUAACCUGACACACCAAGUCUGCUGUCUGUGCUGCCAACACAUCAACGUGGGCUCCCGAUGGCAGGUCAGACAUCAGCUGAGCACAAUGUUUGCAGAGGUUAAUAGCAUUGAUGGAGUCGUGCAACACCCCUGGAAGCAUUCGGGUGAGCAAAGGCUGUUGAAAAUAGAGAGAGGCUCUCAGUCUGUUCAGAUGAAACCUUCUUUUCCCUCACGAAGCUGGAGUGGCCCAAGGGGAGGUCCUGGGUCUGGAAGAACUGGGAGCGUGGAGAAGAGCAGAGUCCCUUUUGGGGCAGUUUUCCCAUCCGAUGCUUGGUGAAGCUUUCAGGAACAGGGAAUCCUUCCUGUCCCCAGCACUGCAGGCUCAGACACUGCUCUGUGAGCAGGAUCUGGGUUAUAAGGACAUGGUGGCACCGUGGCUCCAGUGCAAAGAGCCACCCAUGGAGAGACUGAGUGCCAUUGACGUGUGGGAUGAGGUAGGACAGAUCUGGUGGCUCCAGCCCACUGACGUGACACGGCUUGGGGCACCCCGCUGGUUUGGGGGUGAUCCUGGCAUCUCAAGGUCAAUGGCAUUUAAUCCUAAAACCAUAGAGUGUCCCAAGUUGGAAGGGACCCAUAAGGAUCAUCUCCUGGGACCGUUGGCUGCGACCUUCCCCAACCACUGCAGGGACAGUCCCCCAUCUCCACUGCCACGCAGCCCCCCGUGUUGACCCCAAAACCACCCCCUACCCAACACUCAUGCAACGUGAAAGCUGCUCCAGGACUUUGCUAAAACCCUCUGCCUGAUUUAUACCCUCCGUACAUUCGUCAGCUCAUUUGGCUUUGAAACAUUUCUCCCAUCUGAGAGCUGUGUAUGAGGCACCUGCUUAACUUCAGGCAGUGUAAGAAGCACCAAUCCAUUUGAUAAUUAAAUGUUUGCUGCCACCUAAUUGUCCCUUAUUACACGUAUUCUUUGAGCCGAAAGCCUGUCUGCUGGCACUGUCCCCGGAGCGCUGAGCUUCAAAG
ensembl:lncRNA